GAGAGAUCGAUCAGCUAAUGAUCCAGACGCGCAGAGGAGGAAAUAAGGAAAAAGAACAGACAAUGUGAAAAAGAAGAGGACAAGAGGAAGAAGUGGAGAUAGAAAAGUAGAGGCAUAAGGG
rnacentral:lncRNA from 1 species